UUCCGCCCUGUUUUUACAAAAACAUAGCCUUUAGCAAAUACAAGUAUUAAAGGUCCCGCCUGCCCAGUGAAACUUUUUAACGGCCGCGGUAUUCUAACCGUGCAAAGGUAGCGUAAUCACUUGUCUUCUAAAUAAAGACCAGUAUGAACGGCUAAAUGAGGACAAACCUGUCUCUAAUAACUAAUCAGUGAAACUGAUCUUCCAGUACAAAAGCUGGAAUGUUAACAUAAGACGAGAAGACCCCGUGGAGCUUAAAACAAAGCACUAACUUCCUCAAGCCCUAGUGCCCUGUUUUGAGUUGGGGCGACUUCGGAACAAAACAAAACUUCCGAGCACAGAACCACCAGUUCGAACUAAGGCCAACAAGCCAAGGCAUAAAACCGACCCGGCCCACGCCGAGCAACGAACCAAGUUACCCCGGGGAUAACAGCGCUAUCUUCUUCAAGAGUCCCUAUCAACAAGAAGGUUUACGACCUCGAUGUUGGAUCAGGACACCCAAAUGGUGCAGCCGCUAUUAAAGGUUCGUUUGUUCAACGAUUAACAGUCCUACGUGAUCUGGUCCAAAAACCGGGAAAGAAACGCAACCAAGCAUCCCCUU
rnacentral:rRNA from 1 species